rnacentral:rRNA from 1 species
UACGUAGGUGGCAAGCGUUAUCCGGAUUUACUGGGUGUAAAGGGCGUGUAGGCGGGACUGCAAGUCAGAUGUGAAAACUAUGGGCUCAACCCAUAGCCUGCAUUUGAAACUGUAGUUCUUGAGUGCUGGAGAGGCAAUCGGAAUUCCGUGUGUAGCGGUGAAAUGCAUAGAUAUACGGAGGAACACCAGUGGCGAAGGCGGAUUGCUGGACAGUAACUGACGCUGAGGCGCGAAAGCGUGGGGAGCAAACAGG